AUUGAACGCUGGCGGCAGGCCUAACACAUGCAAGUCGAACGGUAACAUUUCUAGCUUGCUAGAAGAUGACGAGUGGCGGACGGGUGAGUACAACUUAGGGAUCUGCCUUUUGGAGGGGGAUAACCAUUGGAAACGAUGGCUAAUACCGCAUAACACCUACGGGUCAAAGGGGGCGCUUGCGCUCUCACCAAGAGAUGAACCUAAGCGAGAUUAGCUAGUUGGUAGGGUAAAGGCCUACCAAGGCGACGAUCUCUAGCUGUUCUGAGAGGAAGAUCAGCCACACUGGGACUGAGACACGGCCCAGACUCCUACGGGAGGCAGCAGUGGGGAAUAUUGCACAAUGGGGGCAACCCUGAUGCAGCCAUGCCGCGUGUGUGAAGAAGGCUUUCGGGUUGUAAAGCACUUUCAGUUGUGAGGAAAGGUUGGUAGUUAAUACCUGCCAGCUGUGACGUUAACAACAGAAGAAGCACCGGCUAACUCCG
rnacentral:rRNA from 1 species